GACGAACGCUGGCGGCGUGCUUAACACAUGCAAGUCGAACGGAAAGGCCCUGCUUGCAGGGUACUCGAGUGGCGAACGGGUGAGUAACACGUGGGUGAUCUGCCCUGCACUUCGGGAUAAGCCUGGGAAACUGGGUCUAAUACCGGAUAGGAGCCAUUUUUAGUGUGAUGGUUGGAAAGUUUUUUCGGUGUAGGAUGAGCUCGCGGCCUAUCAGCUUGUUGGUGGGGUAAUGGCCUACCAAGGCGGCGACGGGUAGCCGGCCUGAGAGGGUGGACAGCCACACUGGAACUGAGACACGGUCGAGACUCCUACGGGAGGCAGCAGUGGGGAAUAUGGGACAAUGGGCGCAAGCAUGAUGCAGCGAUACCGCGUGGGUGAAGAAGGCAUUCGGGUUGUAAAGCCCUGUUGUUGUGAAAGAAAAGUAGCAGGUUAAGACGCCGCUGUUCUGACGGUACCCAAAGAAUAAGCAACGGCUAACUGCGUG
rnacentral:rRNA from 1 species